CAUUAAGAGAUUACCUCUGUCGUUACUUGCGUAUGCAAAUACGGGAAUGCAAUUGCUGA
rnacentral:sRNA from 12 species